AGUGGAUGGGGAGCAACCUAGUUGUGCGUGUGUAAAGGUAGUGCCAAGAAAAGCGGUGAUCAUGAUGAAAAUCAAUUCCCGGUACCCGAAACCGACACAGGUUGGCAAGUAGAGAAUACUAAGGGGCGCGAGGUAACUCUCUCCAAGGAACUCGGCAAAAUGACCCCGUAACUUAGGGAGAAGGGGUGCCACCGAGAGGUGGUCGCAGUGAAGAGGCCCAGGCGACUGUUUAGCAAAAACAUAGGUCUCUGCAAACUCGAAAGAGGAGGUAUAGGGGCUGACGCCUGCCCAGUGCCGGAAGGUUAAAGAAGUUGGUCAGUCUUAGGAUGAAGCUAGCGACUGAAGCCCCGGUGAACGGCGGCCGUAACUAUAACGGUCCUAAGGUAGCGAAAUUCCUUGUCGGGUAAGUUCCGACCCGCACGAAAGGCGUAACGAUCUGGGCGCUGUCUCGGAGAGAGGCUCGGCGAAAUAGGAUUGUCUGUGAAGAUACGGACUACCUGCAUUUGGACAGAAAGACCCUAUGAAGCUUUACUAUAGCUUGGAAUUGUGUUCGGGCUUCCUGUGCGCAGGAUAGGUGGGAGGCGUAGAAGGUAUUCUUGUGGGGAUACUGGAGCCAACGGUGAGAUACCACUCUCAGGAGGCUAGAAUUCUAACUUAAUUAAGGACAGUUUCAGGUGGGUAGUUUGACUGGGGCGGUCGCCUCCAAAAAGGUAACGGAGGCGUACAAAGGUUCCCUCAGACUGGUUGGAAAUCAGUCGAAGAGUGCAAAGGCAGAAGGGAGCUUGACUGCGAGAAGUACAGUUCGAGCAGGGUGGAAACACGGUCUUAGUGAUCCGACGGUGCUGUGUGGAAGGGCCGUCGCUCAACGGAUAAAAGUACUCUAAGGAUAACAGGCUGAUCUCCCCCAAGAGUUCUCAUCGACGGGGAGGUUUGGCACCUCGAUGUCGGCUCAUCGCAACCUGGGGCGGAAGUACGUCCCAAGGGUUGGGCUGUUCGCCCAUUAAAGCGGUACGUGAGCUGGGUUCAGAACGUCGUGAGACAGUUCGGUCCAUAUCCGAUGUAGGCGUGAGAAUAUUGAGAGGAGCCUUCCUUAGUACGAGAGGACCGGGAAGGACGCACCGCUGGUGUACCUGUUAUGAUGCCAAUUGUAAACGCAGGGUAGCCAAGUGCGGAGAGGAUAACCGCUGAAAGCAUCUAAGUGGGAAGCCCACCUCAAGAUGAGUAUUCUGGUGUAAGGUCACGGGAAGACGACCCGUAAAUAGGCACGAGGUGGAAGUGCAGAGAUGUAUGAAGCCGAAGUGUACUAAUAGACCGUCGGCUUGACC
rnacentral:rRNA from 1 species